rnacentral:misc_RNA from 1 species
GUUAUUUCUUGGUCUUCCCAUCUUUCCCUGUGGCUUUUUUAAGGUGUAUAUUUGUUUCUUCUGCACCUUAAUGAUCGUCAACAACAUGUGAAGUUUGAUUGUAAUGAUAGUACAAUAGUGGAGUGUUUCUUUGAGCUGUUCUGCUGCAUGUUCAAUUUUUGUUCUUUCCAGAAGAUUUUUUUUUCCUCCAAUAGUAAUUAUAAUGGCCUUUUUGCUUAUCACUCCCUAUG